rfam:Loktanella soesokkakensis strain CECT 8367 genome assembly, contig: 0002
UGGUCGGGAGGUCAUCGGUGGGACGGUGAUCGCGAAUGGACCGGAACUCCCCUCUCGCAAGGAUGACGCGGCCUUCCCCGCCGGUCGCGCCG